CAAGUCGAACGCGAAAGCCCCGCAAGGGGUAAGUAGAGUGGCAAACGGGUGAGUAACACGUGGGUGACCUGCCUUCGAGUGGGGGAUAACGUCCCGAAAGGGACGCUAAUACCGCAUGACAUCCUGCGUUUGGAAACGCGGAGAUCAAAGCCGGGGAUCGCAAGACCUGGCGCUUGAAGAGGGGCCCGCGCCUGAUUAGCUAGUUGGUGGGGUAACGGCCUACCAAGGCGACGAUCAGUAUCCGGCCUGAGAGGGCGGACGGACACACUGGGACUGAGACACGGCCCAGACUCCUACGGGAGGCAGCAGUGGGGAAUUGUUCGCAAUGGGCGCAAGCCUGACGACGCAACGCCGCGUGGAGGACGAAGAUCUUCGGGUCGUAAACUCCUGUCGAGCGGGAAGAACGCUUCCCGGGUGAAUAAUCCGGGGAGGUGACGGUACCGCUAAAGGAAGCCCCGGCUAACUCCGUGCCAGCAGCCGCGGUAAUACGGGGGGGGCAAGCGUUGUUCGGAAUUACUGGGCGUAAAGGGCUCGUAGGCGGCCAACUAAGUCGGAUGUGAAAUCCCCAGGCUUAACCUGGGAACUGCAUCCNAUACUGGAUGGCUUGAAUCCGGGAGAGGGAUGCAGAAUUCCAGGUGUAGCGGUGAAAUGCGUAGAUAUCUGGAGGAAUACCGGUGGCGAAGGCGGCAUCCUGGACCGGCAUUGACGCUGAGUGAGCGAAAGCCAGGGGAGCAAACGGGAUUAGAUACCCCGGUAGUCCUGGCCCUAAACGAUGAAUGCUUGGUGUGGCGGGUAUCGAU
rnacentral:rRNA from 1 species